rnacentral:rRNA from 1 species
GUGGGGAAUAUUGGACAAUGGGCGAAAGCCUGAUCCAGCCAUGCCGCGUGUGUGAAGAAGGUCUUCGGAUUGUAAAGCACUUUAAGUUGGGAGGAAGGGCAGUAAGUUAAUACCUUGCUGUUUUGACGUUACCGACAGAAUAAGCACCGGCUAACUUCGUGCCAGCAGCCGCGGUAAUACGAAGGGUGCAAGCGUUAAUCGGAAUUACUGGGCAUAAAGCGCGCGUAGGUGGUUUUGUAAGUUGGAGGUGAAAUCCCCGGGCUCAACCUGGGAACUGCCUCCAAAACUGCAUGACUAGAGUACGGUAGAGGGUAGUGGAAUUUCCUGUGUAGCGGUGAAAUGCGUAGAUAUAGGAAGGAACACCAGUGGCGAAGGCGACUACCUGGACUGAUACUGACACUGAGGUGCGAAAGCGUGGGGAGCAAACAGGAUUAGAUACCCGUGGUAGUCC